rnacentral:rRNA from 1 species
AUGCAGGGCAUACUACCAUUCUUGAGGUCGGUAGAGGUUGCCAGACCUGUAGGUGUAGCGGUGAAAUGCGUAGAUAUCUACAGGAAUACCUAAGCGAAAGGCAGGCAACUGGGCCGAUUCUGACGCUGAGGUACGAAAGUGUGGGUAGCGAACAGGAUUAGAUACCCUGGUAGUCCACACCGUAAACGAUGUGCACUAGAUCCUGGAGUCUCUGACGACAUCGGGGUCGAAGCUAAAGUGUUAAGUGCACCGCCUGGGGAGUACGGUCGCAAGACUAAAACUCAAAGGAAUUGACGGGGGCUCACACAAGCGGUGGAGCAUGUGGCUUAAUUCGAAGCUACGCGAAGAACCUUAUCCUGGGUUUGACAUGCGCGGAUACCCUUGCCGAAAGGCGAGUAAGUUGCUCAUUCGAGUGAAACGUGCACAGGUGCUGCAUGGCUGUCGUCAGCUCGUGCUGUGAAGUGUUGGGUUAAGUCCCUUAACGAGCGAAACCCCUGUCGUUAGUUGCCAGCGCGCCUUCGGGUGGCGGGGACUCUAACGAGACUGCCGGUGUCAAACCGGAGGAAGGCGGGGAUGACGUCAAGUCCUCAUGGCCUUUAUGCCCAGGGCUGCACACGUGCUACAAUGGUACGUACAAACCGAAGCAAUACCGCAAGGUGGAGCAAAUCGGAAAAACCGUGCCCCAGUUCGGAUUGUGGUCUGCAACUCGACCACAUGAAGGUGGAAUCGCUAGUAAUCGCGUAUCAGCUACGACGCGGUGAAUACGUUCCUGAGCCUUGUACACACCGCCCGUCAAGUCAUGGAAGCUGGGAGUACCCGAAGUCGCUACGAUUCAGUAGUGCCGACGGUAAGCUCGGUGACUGGGACUAAGUCGUAACAAGGUAGCCGUAGGGGAACCUGCGGCUGGAUCACCU